UCUGGGCAGGUUGGCGGGUUUGGGUUGGCGGAGCCGUGGCAGCAGACGGGGCGGCCGCUCGCUCUGCUGGCUCCGGCGUGGCCUGCACCUCACGCCCUGUGGAAAGGAGCCGGUGGGCGGAGGUUCCCCGGCCCAGGUGGGAGCAGUCUUUCGCGAGGAGCACGCGUGGGGACAGCGAAGGGCCGGCGCCUCGCGCCCUCGCACGGCCGCGCUGAGCCGAGCAGCUUCUGUCCACAGAGCGUCGGGACCGCGCGGCCAUGCGCCCCGUCGCCAUUGCGCCCCGCCUCCUGCUGGCCUGCAGCCUGGCCCUCGGGCCCCUGCUGGCAGGUGAGAGACCGGGGUCUUCCCGCCCCUCGCUCCCACGUGCAGCCGGCAUCGGCGUGCGCGGCCCACAUUCCCGCCAGCUCCUGGUUCCUUCUCCUGGGAGAUUCAGAUGCGUGACCUAGAGGAGAAGGAUGUUGAUGAAUUCAGUUCCAGUGGUUUUAAAUGCCCAACUUGUAUUGCAGUACAGGGAAGAAAAUGUCAUGUAGAAUUCAAAUGGUGUGCAGCAGAUCAAAUAAACUGUUUUGAAUUCUUGGGCAUCAUAAACACAGGUACUUUUCUAGGAGGCGCUAUUUUGUAGACGCUGAGCGUGUGACACUGUCACAACCUUACGGGGCACACAGCAAAGUUGAGGGGAAACCAGCUUUUGUACAAAUAGCUUAGAAAUGAGGACAGAGCAGUAUCCUGACUUUGAAAAUAUGGCCAAUUGCUUUCUCACAGUAAUUGACUUAUGGCUUUAUACAUGGAUUUAUUGAUGGGCUCCAUAGUUUUGAGGGAGUUAGUUCAACAUACUGCUUAGCCUUCAUCUUCGGCAAACUUUGAGUAGUUUUUGUUUGUUUUUAAGACAUAGGCAAUUUGUGUUUUCCUGCCUCUGGAUUAUUUUCAUUUUCAGCGUAAAAUGUUUGGAGACAGGGGAUGAUUGAACUUAAGCUUUCUUCAAAGGAAUCAAAGGAGAACGCUUCACUAUGCUCACUUAAGAAAACCUGGUACAAAGUUCUAAAUUAACUGAAGAUAUAAAUGAGAAGUGAAUGAAAACUGGUAGCAUGGGAUAGCUUGAAGUGCAGUGGGCAAAGUUCCGUGAGGGUUGGGUUGUUUCCACUUCCUUCUGCUUCCUUCUGAGGGAGCUCCGCCUUCCUCAAGUUCCUCACUGGGAGGUAACUGCUGUGCCCAGCCAUGUUAUUUGCCUCUUGCAUCCUCAUGUUUGUACUUUGCACAAUUUGCCCAACACCAAGUCUUUGCUUUAAAACAACAAUAGAGGUGAGGUGAAAGCAUCAACAGCAGAGUCCCAGCCGUGGGAAAGAUGGUGUAGAAAGGAAACACAGUCUGAACUAGGCCUUCUUCGUGGCCAUUGGUAUUCUUAAAUGAUAACUCAGACCUAGAAUUAGAGAAGAUUAGAAAACAGAGGCUGGGUUGCCAACUGAUGGCGGGAGCUGGAAAUGCAUUCAUCUACAUAAAGCUUAGAAAAUACCCCCACUAUCUGAUUCACUGUGAGGAGCUGUGAGAGGGUGUGAGGAUUUUGAGGCCCAGUGUUUGGAGAAUACCAUUCCAACUCAUGUCCCUGCUAGAGAUAACCAGGUCACUCUUGCCACUCACACAGGAGUGUGCUCUCAUUUAUAUUUUAAUCCAUACCAGUCUGGGUAAAGGCAAAGGAUAAGGA